UACGGAGGGUGCGAGCGUUGUCCGGAUUUAUUGGGUUUAAAGGAUGCGUAGGUGGCCUGUUAAGUCAGUGGUGAAAUACAGCCGCUCAACGGUUGAGGUGCCAUUGAUACUGACAAGCUUGAAACAAGUGGAGGUUGCCGGAAUGGAUGGUGUAGCGGUGAAAUGCAUAGAUAUCAUCCAGAACACCGAUUGCGAAGGCAGGUGACUACGUUUGAUUUGACACUGAGGCACGAAAGCAUGGGGAGCAAACAGG
rnacentral:rRNA from 1 species